GACAAACGGGUCAAGUUAAGAAAUAUCAGUAAAAAAUGAGGUUAGGAGUUAGUUAGGAAAAUUUAUUUAUUUUAAAGAGGUGAAAUUCGAAUAAAAGGUUGCAUUUAUUCUUUCCUGCUGUCUGAUGCCUCAAAAGUUUGAUAAAAAACCGGGAUUAGAUACCCCGUUAUUCACUCUGUAAACUUGAAUUAAAAUUUACUAGGGUAUUACGAGUAAUUAAUUAUAUGUAAAGAUUAUGUUUUGCUUAGAACCCAAAAAACUUGGCGGUGCUUUAUUUCCUUCUAGGGGAACCUGUCCUGUAAAUGAUGGUCCACGAAUAAGCUUACCUUUUUUUGUAUUGACACAGUCUGUAUACCGUCGUCGUCAGACCACCUUUAAAAGGGAAAAAGUUGUCAGAAAAAUAAAAAAUUGUUAUAUUAGCAAUAAUUUAAAUUUUGAUGUCAGAUCAAGGUGCAGCUAAUAGAAAGGUAGAGAUGGGUUACAAUAUUUAUUUUAUAUAUGGAUUUUAUGCUGUAAUGUAUAAAUGAAGGUGGACUUGGAAGUAAUAUAAAUGUUGAUUAGUUAGCUUAUGUGAAAUUGGUACUAAAGCGCGC
rnacentral:rRNA from 1 species